rnacentral:rRNA from 1 species
UACAGGGGGUGCAAACGUUGCCCGGAAUUAUUGGGCGUAAAGCGCGCGUAGGCGGCCACUUAAGUCGGAUGUGAAAGCCCCUGGCUCAACUGGGGAAGUGCACCCGAAACUGAAUGGCUUGAAUGCAAAAGAGGGUCGCGGAAUUCCCGGUGUAGAGGUGAAAUUCGUAGAUAUCGGGAGGAACACCGGUGGCGAAGGCGGCGACCUGGGUUGACAUUGACGCUGAGGCGCGAAAGCGUGGGGAGCAAACAGG